CCUACGGUGGGCAGCAGUGAGGAAUAUUGGUCAAUGGACGAGAGUCUGAACCAGCCAAGUAGCGUGAAGGAUGACUGCCCUAUGGGUUGUAAACUUCUUUUAUAAAGGAAUAAAACGAGGCACGUGUGCCUUUUUGCAUGUACUUUAUGAAUAAGGAUCGGCUAACUCCGUGCCAGCAGCCGCGGUAAUACGGAGGAUCCGAGCGUUAUCCGGAUUUAUUGGGUUUAAAGGGAGCGUAGAUGGGUUGUUAAGUCAGUUGUGAAAGUUUGCGGCUCAACCGUAAAAUUGCAAUUGAUACUGGCAGUCUUGAGUACAGUUGAGGUAGGCGGAAUUCGUGGUGUAGCGGUGAAAUGCUUAGAUAUCACGAAGAACUCCGAUUGCGAAGGCAGCUUACUAAACUGCCACUGACAUUGAUGCUCGAAAGUGUGGGUAUCAAACAGGAUUAGAUACCCCUGUAGUC
rnacentral:rRNA from 1 species